GAGUAACAGGAGGAAGUAGAGGAGUAACAGGAGGAAGUAGAGGCGUAACAGGAGGAAGUAGAGGCGUAACAGGAGGAAGUAGAGGAGAAGCAGGGGGAAGUAGAGGAGGACCAGGAAUUGGUGGUGGAGGAGAACAAUAUGGAGUACGGCUACCAGAAGGAGCAGGAGGAAGUAGAGGAGGAGGAGGAGGAGAAAGUAAAGGAGGACCAGUAGAAAGUAGAGGAGGAGGGGCCAGGUUUGUGGAUGAGAAAUAUGCACAGCUUGUUGCAAGGGUGACAUCAGUGAU